CUAUGUUCUUUUAUCAUAAACCAUUUAGUAUGUUGUAGAAUGUAUUCAAUGGGCCUUUGUGCCUAUAAAACUUUAUACAACUUUCAGCAACGGAUCUCUUGGCUCUCGCAUCGAUGAAGAACGCAGCGAAAUGCGAUAAGUAAUGUGAAUUGCAGAAUUCAGUGAAUCAUCGAAUCUUUGAACGCACCUUGCGCUCCUUGGUAUUCCGAGGAGCAUGCCUGUUUGAGUGUCAGUAAAUUCUCAACCUCUCUGGCUGUUUUAUUGCCRGUUGGGGCUUGGAUGUGGAGGUGUUGCGGGCCGGUCGGCUCCUCUGAAAUGCAUUAGCGGAACCGUUUGCGAUCCGUCACAGGUGUGAUAAUUAUCUACGCCAGUGGGUUGCUCUCUGUCUUGUUCAGCUGCCAACUGUCCGCAAGGACAACCUCAUUGAUUAUUUGACCUCAAAUCA
rnacentral:rRNA from 1 species